rnacentral:rRNA from 1 species
UAACGCGUGGGUAACCUGCCCUUAAGUCUGGGAUACCAUUUGGAAACAGAUGCUAAUACCGGAUAAAAGCUACUUUCGCAUGAAAGAAGUUUAAAAGGCGGCGUAAGCUGUCGCUAAAGGAUGGACCUGCGAUGCAUUAGCUAGUUGGUAAGGUAGCGGCUUACCAAGGCGAUGAUGCAUAGCCGAGUUGAGAGACUGAUCGGCCACAUUGGGACUGAGACACGGCCCAAACUCCUACGGGAGGCAGCAGCA